UGGCAGCAAGGUGAAGACGGAUGGAGCGCGAUGGAGAGCCGGGUCAGGUGGGGACAGCCCGGAGUUUUGAGAGGUGGAUGAACACUGGUCUGGCUGUGACAGGUGCUCCAUCUGGGGCUGCUGGGGAAGGGGCAAGGCUGCCCUCCCCAAGACCCAAAUACACGCAGACCUGGCAACAGUGAGAAACAGGACUGGCUUUCUCCUCAUGGGGCCAUGAAAGGGGCAGGUCUGGCUCCAGGUCACAGAGCAAGACAGUGGCAGAGGCAGGACCAGGGGAUGGCCAGGACCCAGAUGCUGCCUGUCCACACAGCAUGCGGCAGGGACCUGGAAGGGAGCACCAUGGGCUCCGCAGCCAGCUGGGCUUGGGGGCAAAUCACAGCUCCUGCUUCCCCAACAGGAGGACACAGGCCAAGCUCCCUGAAGGGCGCUCCUAGAAAACAGUCCUCAGGAAAGUGUGGGAGAUCACUAACUAGCACCAGUAAAGUAGUCAGGCCCACGGGGAAAGCCUUUGGAACCAUCUGGAGCGAUCGGAGUGAGAGAGAGAGAUGGGACCACUGUUGUAAGAAUAGCAGAAGGAGCCACUCAUGUCGGAGAAGCCUCCCCGUGUGGAAACGACCCUUGUGUGGGUAACUCAGGGUCCCUUGGGGGCCCUCUUUCUGGGAAGAGGCUGUAUUACCUUCAGUUUUCUGCUGCUGGGUCUCUGUUUCCAUGAUCUUUGCCAUUAGAGAAAUUUUACUUUCCAUCAGGGACCAUCUCAUCGUGACCCCCCCACGUGCUAACUUCUCUGAGCCCAGUUUCCUGAUGAGGCAUGGGGGCCACAGGACACAGGCCUGGAAGCAGUGAGAAGCAGUUUCAAGAGGGAGUGCAUCCAGGUGCAGAGAUCUGGGACCGAGAUCUCUUUCUUUGCCUCCCCCACUUCACCUGGGUACCCCUGUGAUGGUUACUAUUGAGUGUCAACUUGACUGGAUUGAAGGAUGCAAAGUAUUGUUCCUGGGUGUGUCUGUGAGGGUGUUGCCAAAGGAGAUUAACCUUUGAGUCAGUGGACUGGGAAAGGCAGACCCACCCCCAGUCUGGGUGGGCACAAUCUAAUCAGCUGCCAGAGUGGCCAGAAUAAAAGCAGGUAGAAGAACGUGGAAAUUCUAGACUGGUUUAGUCUUCCAGCCUACAUCUUUCUCCCGUACUGGAUGCUUCCUGCCCGCGAACAUCAGACUCCAAGUUCUUCAGCUUUGGGACUCUUGGACCUUCGACCACAGACUGAAGGCUGCACUGUUGGCUUCCCUACUUUUGGGGUUUUGGGAUUCGGACUGGCUUUCUUGCACCUCAGCUUGCAGAUGGCCUAUUGUAGGACCUCACCUUGUGAUCAUGUGAGUCAAUACUCCGUAAUAAACUCCCCUUCAUCUAUACAUCUAUCCUGUUAGCACUGUCCCUUUAG
rnacentral:lncRNA from 1 species